UAUGCAAAGCAUAUGAUGAAAACGCAUUGAAACUGACUCUGUGAUGUCCAUUCAAUCCAACCCUGAGCUUUGUGCC
rfam:Picoides pubescens contig47616, whole genome shotgun sequence.